GUAGGUGGCAAGCGUUGUCCGGAAUUAUUGGGCGUAAAGCGCGCGCAGGCGGUUCUUUAAGUCUGAUGUGAAAGCCCACGGCUCAACCGUGGAGGGUCAUUGGAAACUGGAGAACUUGAGUAGAGAAGAGGAAAGCGGAAUUCCACGUGUAGCGGUGAAAUGCGUAGAGAUGUGGAGGAACACCAGUGGCGGAGGCGGCUUUCUGGUCUGUAACUGACGCUGAGGCGCGAAAGCGUGGGGAGCAAACAGGAUUAGAUACCCUGGUAGUCCACGCCGUAAACGAUGAGUGCUAAGUGUUAGGGGGUUUCCGCCCCCCUUAGUGCUGCAGCUAACGCAUUAAGCACUCCGCCUGGGAGUACGGCCGCAAGGCUG
rnacentral:rRNA from 1 species